CCUUCCUCAGUCUCUUGCCUCUUCGGAUGUGACUUGACUUGCCAGUGUGGAGGAUCAAAGUGGUGGACACACCGAUCGAGCGAUCGAUCGAUCCAUAGAUCGGUCCAGCGAUUGAUCGACCUCCCUCCCCUGUAUGUUACGAUAUCAUAGUGCACGUCAUCGCCCCGCGAUAGCCCGAGCCCGGUUGCAUUUUGUGGUGGCUGUGGCGUUUCUUGAGUCAAGCGUUGCGGUGGAGUUUAACAUAAAAGAGUUUUUUUAAUGCUCACGCUGUGUACGCCGGUAUUUCCCUUUUGUUACUUCCUUUAGCCAGCCAUUUGGUCGCGGUGCAUCGCCCGCUCUUUCUUCUCUUGCUCAUCUCUACAUUUCCCUCGCUUCUCUUGGAACCCUGAAUCCUGUUCCGCUCUGCCACUGUGGCGCAAUCAUCCUCAUUACCCCGCCACUGAACCGUAGUUGGUAGCGCUCUGUUUAACUCCAAGCUGAAUCGACAUCCCUUGCCUCUCGAUAUAGUACCCUGCAUAUACCUGUAUCAGGCAUAUCUUGCACCACAUGCACACUGAAGGUGAAGCGAAGCGACUGAAGUCUUAGGCACAUCCUUCCUCUUUGUCGAGAGGAUUGGUUAGAUGCUUCAGCGGCAAGCGGGUGAGGUUAUCAUCAUCGGGGAUUUGAAAGUGACUGGGUUUGGGAUUGGCAAGUACAUUUGGGACAGGGUUCGGGGUCUGUUUGUCCUCCGCAACUCCAGAAGUCAGAAUUAUAGUCUGUUAGGAGCUCGUGGAGAACCUGAGUAGUAGAGGAUUCUGAUGGAAAUUGGAUUUGCAAUCAGAAAGCAUUCCUAGCGGGGUCAAGAGAUUCAGCCAGACUUCCGGUCCGGAAGAGAAGCAUCCUAGUUGUUCAAGGACUCAUCCGCCAUUAUCAUCGCCACCAUCACCCCCACUUUCUCUCUAUCUUCUCGAUCUGGUCUGUGUCGCUUGUUGAGUUUCGUCAGCUGCGACAUCGUUGUGAAACGUGGAACACUGUGCACGUCUGUGCUGUCUACGAGAGCAUAUAUUGGCGCAACCUUGUGAUAUACCGGAGGAUUCGCGACCAAAGUGAGACUUAGGGAAGGAGAUUCCCAGUGUGGACAGUAAAAUAACCUUCUUCAUUCGGCAAACCUCCAUUGCUUUCGUUCACCAUUCCUUUCACCUACCUAACCGGUCAAAGAACUGAACAAGUGCCGGUAUCUCGACGAUACCCGUCCAUAAUUCUGGAACAACCUGGUUAUCAUUAUCUAUCGAAUUAGGGGUGAAUUUUCACUGAGUGGUGGCAUAUGAGACUUUGGUCGCCGCGCAUCGGCGAGUUUGUUUCUGAAAAUCCAACUCAAUUGCUUGUGAAAAAACUUGAAAAAUUCACCGUGUCUGCGGCACCUGGCUGCAACCUUUGCCUACCGGGUUUCGGCUCUCUGGUGGCUACGAGAGCAGGCUGCCCUCCUCUCGUUGGGAGCUCUGUCAUAUAGGGGUUCUAGUCCUGCCGCCUUCGUUCGGGGUAGCCGUCGAGCCUAUGCACAGGUAGACCACUUUCUGCAGUGACCUGACUUCGAACAUCAUGCCAGCGGGCUGCAGGUGCAGGGGGUAAACACAUGAUAGCUGGGGAUAAAUCUUUUUCAAUUUCUACUCUUCGGAGGCAUCCCUUUUAGACAUACUCGUUUGUGAUACUUCGGAGUCGAGCUAUGCGGCUGUGAAGAAUCUACACUUAGGAAAGGUUAGGAUGAGCGAAAGGAACAGCCCUCAGGUGUUGGCUCUUACAAACACCGAGCCCAGCGAAGCCACUAGCCCUAGUAGCAGUGAUGGUGAAUGAAAUGCGCCGAUAACCAAGUUCUUCGAGUUCGUACCGGAGAAGACAUGCUUGAAUUGAAUGGCAUGCUCUUUAUAAGAGGCAAGUGCCGUUACUAGAGUAUAUGGGGAGACAGCUUAAUUUGAGAUCCGAGGUCUGAGGUGAUGGAGAAUAUGGCAAGAAAGUUUAUUAGGUAGUGCAUGACUAUUUCGGCAUUUUUGCAACAAGAUAACCUUAACUCUGAUUGCGAGGAGCAGGGCAGUGCGCCGCAGAAAUGGCAUCCGAUCUGCCCUUACUAUACUCACCGACUCACCCUACGACAAUCACGCGUCAUAGCGACGCGUUUCUUACAAAUUUGUAUCAUAAAAAUGAGCGACUUGGAGAAAUGGUUCUUUCUCCACAAUCUCUUGAUGAUUUUUGGUCACAAGUGUUCGGAAAUGAACUUCGUAUUUCCUCUUUUUCCACUUCAAGUGAAAGAUGCUUGCCGCUACUGGUACUUCACACCAUUUCUCCUGGGGUGGCGUUCAAGCUGGCCCCCUCCGAUAACCAGCAAGCUAUGGAUCUUUCUGCACUCCAAGCUUUACACGUUUCCUGUCUCCACGAAAACAAGACGGCGGUAGCUCCGAUCAGCGGCGGUCUUCAAUUGCACUUAGUAGCCAUGCUUCCAUCACAAAUACAAAUCCCAGAAGGCAGAAAAGAUGCCUGUUUUUGGGGAUUUGUUGUAGUCCAAGGGAUGUAUGAUUCCUGUCUUGCCAUGCUUAAUCUACGCUGCUUGGCCAUGGUCCUUGACCUCGACGAAACCCUCAUCGUAGCUAACACCUUAAAGACUUUUGAUGAUCGGAUUGACGCUUUGAAUCGUCGGUUGGUCAAUCGGGAGGAUCCUGUACUGGCUGGGACACUCAAACGAUUUCAGGAAGAUAAGGCUAUUUUAGAGCAGUACAUUAAGACCGAUCAAGUGUAUGACAAUGGAAAACUGUACAAAGCCCAGUCAGAGGUCGUUCCACCUGUUGCAGAUGGGGCGAUUCCACUCAUUCGACCUAUUGUUCGGCUGCCAGAGCGAAAUGUUAUCCUCACACGGAUCAAUCCAGCGGUGAGGGACACAAGCGUGCUGGUGAGAUUGAGACCAAAUUGGGAUGAAUUGAAGGUCUAUUUGUUGGCAAAAGGCCGUAAGCGAUUUGAAGCCUUCAUUUGUACUAUGUCAGAGCGGGAUUAUGCCCUGGAAAUGUGGCGGUUAUUGGAUCCUGAUGCUCGUCUAAUAAAUCCACGAGAGUUGAAUGAGCGGGUCACCUGUGUGAAGUCUGACGCUAAGAAAGCCUUGAAGGAUUGUUUUCCUCGUCACUGCUGUCAUCCGAAGAUGGCAAUGGUGAUCGACGAUCGGUUGCCUGUUUGGGAAAAAGUGGAUCAACCUCGCGUGCAUGAAGUGCAAGCAUUCAUGCCUUACACAGAUCCAAAAGGAGAGACUAUGAAGGAAUUGCCCCCUCUGUGUAUCGCUAGAAACAUAGCCUGUAACGUCCGAGGGUACUUUUUCAAGGAGUUGGAUGAAACUUUAACGCAGCAGAUGCUGGAGGUCAAGUUCGAUACAGAAGUCCACACUUUGCCUAAGGCUCCCGAUGUGAGCAGUUAUAUAAUCCCUGAGGUAAUGCAGGAGGAUGUAGUUCCAGGUUUUACAACGAAUGGUGUUAAGGACUUUAGUGAUGGAAUGGCUAAUAUGGAAGUCGAGAUGAACUUGAAAACACCGGGCGCUAAUGGGCUAAGCCACUCUCGAAGCUUCUCUAUGGAUGAUGACUUAAUGUUGGCACUCAAGCAACCAAUACAACAACCUUUACAGCAGCAACAACAACAACAUCAACAACCUCAUCUUCUGGUUCCAGAUCCCAUUGGCCGACUACGCCCGCAGUUUGCAGGGGACGUUUCCAAAGUGGAUCCCUCAAUGUAUCUUCCAGGUGAUAGUAUUGUGUAUCCAUCAAGUACUGAGAACAGUCUUUAUCCUCCGGGCAUUCCUAGAAGACAUACAGAUCCUGUUCAAACCAGGUUACUAGAAGGUACUAUUCAAGGUUCCCCUGGCAGAGAAGAAGGAGAGGUUCCAGAAGCUGAUAUUGAUCCAGAUACUCGUAGACGGUUACUCAUACUACAGCAUGGCAUGGACGCAAGCAAGCCGGUUACACCUCUCGCACCAUUGCAGGUACAGAUUCCUCCUGUUGUGCCUCCUGGAGGAGGGUGGCUUGGUAUUGAAGAGGAGAUGAGCCCUCGCCGACCAAGUAGGAGAUCACCGGAGCUGGUCUUAGAACCAGAAUCUCCUUCAUUUGAUCGUUCUGGACCUCCCGGGUUUGAAAAUCCAUAUAUUCGUGAACAACAGUUGAUUAGAGAAGCAGCAAGAAGACAACGCGAUCAGGAGGAGAGCUUCUUCAAAGAGAGUAGAUCGCAACUGGAUAAUUCUGCUUUUUCAGAUGAGGAUAGUGCAGCAAAUAGCUUCACACGAGGGAUGUCUAGGGAGCCAUUUAAUGCACCUCGAACAGUGCCAUUUCCUGCCGUUAAUGCUAUCAGCGCGUUACAUGAGAUAGGGCAAAAAGUUAAACGAACUGUACAAUAUCGCACAGAUUUGAGGAGUUCCACACAUCUUGGAGUUACUGUCGAGGUCAUGUUUGGAGGUGAAAAAGUGGGAGAGGGCGUAGGUAGGACCCGAAAAGAAGCCAAAUAUAAUGCUGCAGAGUCGGCUCUACUAUAUUUAGCCACCAAGGCCACUGGAGGGUCAACUCCAGUACCUUCCACAGCUACUUUGCCAGAGCCAGCUAAAGAGGUCCGAAUGUCACGUGGUGGUCCUAGAGAUCCCCGUUUGUCGGCUGGUCUUGCACCUCUGCCUCGGGAUGAUGAUAGUCCAGUAGCGAGUACUUCAGGACAUGUUCCUCUGGGCGGUUAUCAGUCUAAUGAGGAGCCAGUGCCUUAUAAUCAUGUUGCAGUUCUUAAGGAAUUGUGUACGAGGGAGGCAAUUAAUAUUCAAUUCAAAGCGCUUCCAUCAAAUGGAGUUGGGCAGCGACAAGCAUUUCGUUGUCAGGUAGAAGUUGGCGGACGAAUGUUGGGUAGAGGUAGUGGACCUACUUGGGAUGAAGCCAAGCAAGAAGCAGCAAAAGAAGCCUAUAUACAGGUGGAAAUGUCACUACGACCGCAUAAGCGAGGAAAUGGACCAAGGUCACCAGGGAGCAACAAGCGAAUGCGAACGGAUCCAAUGAAAGACCGUGGAGUGCCCGCUAGUCUAUCUCCUGUACGUGGAGGUAGGUCGAGGCUGUCCCCUAGAAGACAUGCCCGAAAUCUUCCACCGAUGCCGUGAGCCAAAAUAUCUUGAUGGAUUGACAUGCUUUUUGAGUGCUAUUUGCGCAACCCCUGGAUCAAAUAGGGAAGAAGAGACUUUGGAGAACGCGGUGCUGGAGUGGUAAACCUGUGUAGACAGGUUCAACUUUGAAUAUAGAAUAGUUCUUGUUGCUCUUUCCACUCAUCUAGACUAGUUCUUCCAUGUCUAUUGCUGAGAACCAGCACUACUGAUGCCCGAUUCUGGGCCAGGAAGUAGAUCUAGCAAUUUUGGGGUCAUAUGCCAGGUGCUCUUAUGCCGAUCUGGCCUGCAGUGCAGUGUGUACAUUGUAGUAGCAAGUGGUGGAUGUUCUAAGCAGAAGUGCUCGAGGCUGGGACCUGUCUUCAACGGCUGUUAGCUUCACUCUCCUGGUGUCGAAACCUGCCGUAGGAAGCAAACAGCGUUGAUUAUUGCCAUCCAUGAGAGAUGUUGCAAAAACUUCCACACCGGCACCGCUUAGGACGUCUCCGCCUUUAAAGGCGGGCACCACACCACGUGUUGGUUUCAACACGUCUAAAAGCCAGGACUGGAAAAAAACUGAACUCCCAACGUUCCGAAGAAGGCCAAGAGAAGCUCUCACUUAUUCCGAAUCGAGAUCAGAUCCGACCUGAAAUGUGGUCUAUCGGGGAGGCACCGCGGUGUAGUGUCUCUUCCCAAGUGAAGGGUCACUUGAGUAGCGAAGGUGAUCACAAAAACUGCUUCGUUGCUCUGUGACAACACCAAGGAACAGUGAAAAAGCACAGGCAUUGCAAGAGGACAAGCAAUAUUCAUCCUUGCCUAUAUAUAUAUAUAUAUAUAUAUAUAUGUAUCUACUUAACAAGAUGAAGAAAUGCAGUGUUGUUCA